rnacentral:tRNA from 1 species
UCUCCUGUAGCUCAGUGGUAGAGCGUCCGACCGGUGUGCGAAAGGUCAUAGGUUCGACUCCUGAUGGGGGAA